rnacentral:rRNA from 1 species
GACGAACGCUGGCGGCGUGCCUAAUACAUGCAAGUCGAACGCACUGGGGACGGGUGAGUAACACGUGGGUAACCUCCCAUCAAAGGGGAUAACACUUGGAAACAGGUGCUAAACCGCUAUUGAGGGAUGUACCCGGGGUGCAUUAGCUAGUUGGUGAGGUAACGGCUUACCAAGGCCACGAUGCAUAGCCGAUCUGAGAGGGUGAUCGGCCACACUGGGACUGAGACACGGUCCAGACUCCUACGGGAGGCAGCAGUGGGGAAUAUUGCACAAUGGGCGCAAGCCUGAUACAGCCAUGCCGCGUGUAUGAAGAAGGCCUUCGGGUUGUAAAGUACUUUCAGCGGGGAGGCGUUACCCGCAGAAGAAGCACCGGCUAACUCCGUGCCAGCAGCCGCGGUAAUAC